UACCAAAUGUGCUGGCAAAAAAGUGGU
rnacentral:piRNA from 1 species